rnacentral:rRNA from 1 species
AAACCGUUCGGGGGUAAACGGACAGAGCCCGUGAAUCCGGGCGACGGAAUUCAGAAUCGACGGCGUUCGCGCGUCGUCGGUUCGAUAUUUCCGUCGCCGACCAUUUUCACACGGACGUCGCGACCCGUUCGGUGUCGGUCUGCAGGAGACGCGCGAAAGUUCGUGAGCGUGCGUCGGCCCUCGGGCUGGCGUGCGUUUCGCGAGUGCGCGUUCUUUUCUGGCCGACUCGCCGGACGGUAUGCGAAGCGGUGAUCGCGGCGGUCACACUUGCUGGCGCCGUCGCGUUACCGGUCUGCGACGAAUCUUCGGGCCUCUUUCCGA